rnacentral:lncRNA from 1 species
UGUUUUAUUGUAUUUUAUUCCUUGAUCUAAACAACAAACAACAUUAUCUGUUUAUUGAAUGUGUACCAUUAUCACCAAAGUACAUGAUUGGCCUCUGUGUAUUUCAUGAAUAUUGUCCCCUCUGUGGCAGUGGUUCUCAGAGUGGGGUCCCUGGAGCAGCACUAGGAGCAUCUGUUGGAUAUUGGUCAGAGAUGAAACUCACAGGUCCUGCUCUAGACCUGCUGAAACUAGAGAGCCCACUAGGCUGUGUUGUAGCGAGACUUCCACAUGAUUCUGAAGCAUGAUCGGGUUUAAGGGCUGCUCUUCUAAAAGGAUCCAUGCGUUUUCCAGGCUACUGAGAUGAUGAGCUCUGAUAUCCCACCCGAGUCUUUUCCCAAUGACAAGAUUUGUGGCAGGUUGGAGGAGAAACACGCAUUAAAAAGUCACAGAGAUCUACUGCAGGUCUCAGAUUUAUUAUUCAGCAAUAGGUAACCAAUUUCAAGAGUCUGGGUGAAAUAUUCUUCUGGCUUUCCCUCAGUCUCCCCUAUGCCACUUCUUUCCUCUGGUGAAAUAUACCUAGGUAUACACACACACACACACACACACACACACACACACACACACACACGAGUCCUAAAGAAAUAAAAAAAUGAUUCUUUUUUUUCCACUUUCAUUUCAGCAUCAGUAUGACCCAAGAAAAUCAAGUAUCUUAAAAGCAGAAAUUUCAUUUUCCAGCCAACUCAUGAGUAUUACCUGGGCCCCUCAAAAUGUUAGCAGGAAAUUCAGAAGAAGUAGGGACUGGUAAUUCCUUUGUCACCAUGGUUAAAACCUAAAGGUAGAGAUAAACUCAUUGCCUCAAGCUUAAAAUUGGUCAAAUUAGUGCACAUAAAUUAAUGCGUGUGUAGAAAUAUAUACUCUAACUUAUGGAAAAAAUAAUUUGAUUCUAUUUGUAAAGAACCUCUAGGGAGUUCCCACUGUGGUGCAGUGAGUUAAGGAUCCAGCGCUGUUUCUGUGGUGGCUUGGGUUUGAUCCCUAACCUAGCAUAUUGGGUUCAGGAUUCAGUAUAGCUACAGCUGUGGUGUAGGUCAAAGCUGCAACUGGGAUUCAAUCCCUGGCUGGGGAAUUUCCAUAUGCCUUGGGUGCAGCCAAUAAAAGGUGGGGGGUGGGNGCAGAAAAGACCCUGUAGAAUAAAGCAUUACACAAGUCUACUUAAAUUUAUCCAUACAUUUAUCUGACAAUUAUCAAAGGAAGUGUGAUGAAGUAUUGUAUAUACAACUAUAUAGUUGAAGAGACAGGGUUCUGACCUUUUUACAGUUGUUGGUUUUGUGACUUUUAGCAAGUAACACAAACUGCUUGUUUUUUAAUUUUUCCCAAUUGUAAAAAAUAGAAGCAAAAUAACAUGAUCUACCUCAUAGCAUUGGUUGGAAAAAAUAAACAAGAUAAUGUGUGCCUCAUGCCUGACAUAUAGCAUCUCUUCAAUAAAUGUUGGGUAUCAUUAAGCAGGACUUCCAUUGCUAUCUUUCUUCAGAUCACAUCCUCGUCCUUAUUUUCUUUUCUUGAUUAAUGUGCUCAAACAUUACCUUUGGAAACAGGCAGUGUAAAGUUUCCUUCCCCCUGAAUUUUCUGUAAAUUAUGAGCUUUCAGUGUAAUGAUAUGCAUUUACCUUAGUGCCUCCCUUCCCUUUAAGAAAACUCCCUUAACAUUCAUAUUAAUGAGUCUUUUCAGUAGUUAUGAGUCUGGACUAUGCUCUUCCAAAGACGUUUCCUCAUAAAUUAGCAUUAAUUGAUGUCCAGUUUUUUUGGAAAAUGUUAGCACACGUUAUUUAUGGCACGCUCUGUUCGUGUGGCGCCUCUUAAUGUGAAAAAAAAAAAAAAAAAGUUUUCAAAGGAGGGUCAAAUGCUGUUUCCUUUGCUUGCAAAAUGGGUGAAAGCCACAGCCUUUGCGUAUUUGGCAAACCCUCAGCAAUAUUUCUACUUGAAGAGCAUGGAGGCGAUCUGAAGUCAAGGGUAGAUUUGCAAUCGCUCUUGGUACAGCGGUUCUUUCCACAUUGCUUUGGAGCCUGCACGAGCUUCAGGCUGCAUGCAACCCAGUGAGGGAGGUGCUCUCUUCAGACUUUUAUUAAAAAUGCUUUGGACCCACAAUGAAGCCAAAUUUCAGAAAGGUUACCCUGACUUCUCCUAAUCCUAGGUUAUGAGAAAAACAGAGACACACAUGACUACUAAAAAGCUGUCUAGUUUUACUGUUCAUUAUGUAUCUACCUAUGUGUGCACCUGUGCUGUUUGUGCUUUUGCAAAUUUCUACAUAGACCAGAGAAAAAGCAAGAUUCCAUUAAAAAAAUAAGCGUACAGUUUGGAUGUAUAUUUUUUUAACUCCGUAGAGAAAACAUGAUGUAAAGCUAUAAGCAGAAAUGUUCCUAAAAGUUGGGAAGUUUUUCCAUCAUGUUAAACAUCUUGAACUAAUGUGUGCUGACUAAAGGUUUGCACAGAGGUGCUAGAAAGCCAGUCCUUAGAGAUGCUUGCAAUGGGUGGUUAGAAUCUAGCACAUAAUAAAUCUCAAUAAAUUGUGUCUGUUGUUUUUAUUUUUCCCAGUCAUAAAAUAUUUGGUGGUUUUUAUUUUGCUCUCUUUGCUGUUUUCCUGUGUGUUUGCUGAUUGGGGGUAACAAAAGACUUGAAGACUCCCCCACGUAAAGAUAAAUCUGUUUUUCACUAGAAGAAAAUCUGAAAUAAGUCAAUUAGUUUAAUAUUGUCAGUCAUAUAAUGAUAACCCUGUUUUGGAUUUUAUUUAAGAGAAAAAAAAGUCGGUUGAUGGUGUUUCCGUGAAACUUUGGAGUGACAAAAUAAAUAGGAGGUUCAUUGCAUCAAAUAUAAGCUCCAUUUAUAUAAGACAAGUCAAAAAAUAAUACUUUAAGUCCCAUUUCAAGCUCAGUUUUUGAAUAAUAAAUGUCUGUAGAUAUAACCCUUUCUCUAAAGAAUUGACACUUUUAUUGAGAUCAUAGGAGAAAUGAGAGCAAUAGACACACUGUACAGAAUACUCUAUAAUUUGUGGCUGGGUUGUAUUCUAAGCUAUAGAAAUACAGAGGGAAAAAAAUAAUAGUAUUUUCUACGGUCUUAAAUUCUUCAAGAUUUGAGUCAAGAGAGGGGCCAGUCCAAGAAGCAAGACUUGUCUCAGAGGGAUCACGUCACAAAAAAAUGGUCUCAAAGUCAAGGAGAAGAAAAAAAAGCCCUAUUAACAGAGAGCAAGUGAAAUAUAACCGAUAACCAACAUGGAGAGAGAAAACAAUUCCUGAGUUGAAAAAAAAAAUAAGCGGGCUGAAGAGGGUGUGGAGAGAAGGGAACCCUGCUACACUGUUGGUGGGAAUGCAAACAGGUAUAACCACUAUGGAAAGCAGCAUGGAGGUUCCUCAGAAAACUAAAAAAAGAAUUACUGUAUGAUCCAGCAAUCCCACUCUCAGGCAUAUGUCUGGAAAAGACUACAAGUCAAAAAGAUACAUGCACCCCUAUGUUCAUAGCAGCACUAUUCACAAUAGCCAAGACAUGGAAACAAGCUGAAUGUCCAUGGACAGAUGACUGGAUUAAGAUGUCAUAUAAGGAAAUACUAGUCAGCCUUAAGAAAGAAUGAAAUAAUGCCAUUUGCAGCAACAUGAAUGCAACUAGAGAUUAUUAUACUAAGUGAAGUAAGUCAGAAAGAGAAAGACAAAUAUCAUAUGAUGUCACUUAUAUGUGGAAUCCGAAAUAUGGCACAAAUGAACCUAUCUACACAACAGAAACAGACUCACAGAGAACAGACUUGUGGUUGCUGAGGAGGAGGCGGGAGGCAGAGGGAUGGACUGGGAGUUUGCGGUUGGCAGAUGCAAACUAUUACAUUUGGAGUGGAUAAGCAAUGCGGUCCUAAGGCAGAGCACAGGGAACUAUAUUCAGUCUUCUGGGAUAAACCAUAAUAGGGAAGAAUAUUUUUAAAAGAAUAUAUACAUAUAUA